CCCUAACUGUGAGUUGAUGCUCCCGUAAAGAGCUCAGGGCUGUGAGCCUUAUCACCACAUGGGUUGCAACACAGCAGAAUAUCCUGUGUGACCAAAGCCAAAGGCUAAACCUGGCUGCAUUUUAUUGGAUGGGUGAUGGAAGUGGGUGGGAGUACUAUGGUAAAGGAGGGAUAUAUGGGUGGGAGCCACCAACAAAAGUCCCCCAUCCCCCUCCCCCAACAGAAAGGAGAGAGACAACCCUUUCCCCUCAGGUGAUCUGGAAUUCCAGGGCCUCUGCCAGCUUUGCAGGAGGUGCACAGAAGCUGGAUGCUUUUGGUCUGGUGGCCAUGAGCUAGACUCUGUUGCCUUUGGUUGCUUUUCACUCCACAGCAAACCCGCAGGUCUCCUCCACGGCUGUCAGCAGCUUCUCGUAGAGCUUCUCAUAGGACUCAUAUGGUGGAAUGUCGAUCCGGUUAAAGCUGAAAAAGGACAAAAGAGAGUCACCGUGUGGGCAGUCCAGCCCUAGGACCAACCUCAAGGCCAAGGACAGGCAGUGAGAAGUAUAUGUGGGAGGGGAGAGGAAUGGGGGGUGGGGCAGGGUUGGUGAUGAGUUCUCCAUGUCCCCUGUGUUUUUCUGCUUCUAAUACAAAGAUUUGUAAUUUGUUUUUGCUUUUUGGUAGAGACAGGGUCUCGCUAGGUUGCCCAGGCUGCUCUCAAACUCCUGGCCUCAAGUGAACCUCCUGCCUUGCCCUCUCAACGUGCUGGGAGCCACUGUGCCCAAUCAACACACAGUAAAGGGGAAGCUCAUUUCCAGUAUUUGUGCAAAGAAAAAGACAUCCUUUAAGAAGCUAUCGUAGCAAACCAAAAAAUACAAAAUUGUGACCCAGAGGAUGUACAGUGACUUCUGGCUUUCUAGGGUAAGCAAUUAAGGAUGGUUUCUGUCUCUACAGAGCUGGGUUCCAGGGCG
rnacentral:lncRNA from 10 species